rnacentral:lncRNA from 1 species
UCCCCCAACCACUCUGUCUCGGAACAGGAUAACAAAUCACCCUCAUCAGUUUUGUCCCCAUUCGGGUCUUCUGCCUCUGAGCAACCAAAUAGAUGUUCUUCUCCAACUUCUUGUACUACUAAUAUACAGUCACUCAAUAAUACAUCCCCUGUUGAAAAGGAAAAUGACUAUGUGACAUCUAUAGAGAAAGAGAGUGAAUCUUUAUCAUCUAUUAAAGUAUUUGGACAAUCAUCCGAGGAGGACAUUUUAUCUUUGGUAAAAUCUCUGCCCUUUUUCGUUUAUGGAACAAUUAUUACUGACCUUUGUCUUAGAAUUUGAACUCUGAUUUUCUUUCUUUCUUCAUGUAAUUACCCAGAAAUCCAACACAGACUUUGAGGAACCUGUGUGUACCAAAGGAAACGAAGCAGCAGUAGUUGUGCCUUUCACCAGUAUUAAGCUUUUUGGAAAAACAGUUGAGGUGAAAGAUUCCAGCAAACCAUCCACGGAUGCAGAAAACUUUCAAAUGCAAACAUCAAAGAAUGGUGUAGCCGGCGAGUGCUUGGACUUGCAUUUGUCACAUGGGACAGUCAUCGAUAAUUGGAGUACGGUACCUUCUAAAUCUAAUUUAUCCCCUUGUAUGGAAAUCCACACAGAUAAAAAUGAUCAUGUAGAAUACACCAGUGAUGCUCCUCUGCCAUGGUUAGCUUUUUACCAAGGUCUACCCUUUUAUUACAUCACUUCAUUUAAUCAAACCCAUACAGACCCCAGAGUCAAAGAGACACCGAAAGAGAAGGAAACCCUGAAUGAAAGAUCUUGCACCGGUUCAAAUACGGGCUCAGUUAGUCAAAUAGAAAAUAGGGAAAGGAAUUCGGAUUCUGUCGAUUCUCAAUGCCAAAACCCUUGUCCUCGGGGAAAAAUGACAUCCCAAA